AAUGAAGUGCCUGAUUUUCGAAAGGGUUAUCAUGAUAGGAUAAAUUAUGUAUUUUAUACCUUCAUUA
rnacentral:tRNA from 1 species